AAUGGACGGAACACCUUUAAAAGAAAUUCCAGCAACAUGUUUCAUUUGUUUAGAAAAUAAACGAUUUUAUUCCAUAAAAGGAAAAAAUGCAACGGAAGACGAAAUCAUCCAAAAACUAAGUUCAAUAUCAGAAGUAACCAGUUUCAUAGUUAUCACGGAUGUGAGCUGAGAGAUACAGAGGUUGCCAGUGAGAACACUCAGUUCCAUAAACUUUGUGUAGAAUCAUCAGAUUCAACUGUAAUGAACUGGAGCCAUUGUAAUAUAUGUGAAUCGUAUAAACAGUAAAAACUCGAAAGCACUAGUCUUUGUUAGUCAACACCGCACACCAAUCGGACAAUUGCUACGAACCACGGCUUGGUCUUGCCUCAUAAUAUAUUGACUAUUAUAGACCUUCACAAAGGUCAGGGGUAAAGGUCGAACCAUUAUAUUUCUAUCAAUCGAUCGUAGGUCACGAUAUACAUUAUUACACGUAUACUUAUCUUUACUAACAAGGUACUUUCGAAACACAAAUUAAACACAGUACACAUACAGUAUGAUGUUACCAUAGUGAGGUGACAAUGGUUACAAAUAUCAUUUAAAUGAGUUAUCUAACAUCAUUAUAAGUA